GUAAACCAGUCACUGGUUGCAGCACGCCAGAACCUUCUGCCCAGACUCAGUGCCUACAAAGGCCUUGCAGCAGCUGCGACGCGCGGGUUAAAGCGGAGACUCGCGCGCUCGAGCAGACUGCUGCUGCCUGGGUCGCAUCCUCCUUCCUCUGAAAGUGCUACCUCGAGCAGAUCUGGGUCCGCCUCGAGAGAGUUUGACGAAAAUCGAGGAAUACAUUCGAUCGAACUCCAAACUCGACUACUCAUCGUGCAGGAAGCAUGUCUAAUUUGCACCGACGAUGAAAAGCGAAUGAACUAGACGAAUAGAGCAUCCAUUUUGUCUCGGUGACUGUAUCUGCGCCGUGUGAAAAGAAACGAUUCUGUCAAUUCUUGGACAUAGCUGGUGAGCGGGCAGGGUCUGAGUUUCUCUGUUCCAAAUCUGGUGAGCGUAGCUCAAUUAUCCACCUGAGUGCCUUCUACGAAGGAAAUAAUCAGCCCUGAAACUGAUUUCUCAUGAAAUUCGUGGACGCUCUUAUGCUAUCCAGAAAAGAGAAAUAUGAUGUUCGUCCAUAUUUGCAGUGUUGACCACUGAAGAACAUAACAACUUACCAACGAAAAGACUCCAUAAGAGAAGGCUUACAGAAUGGCACAAGUGGUUGCCAUAGUCAACACUCUUAUUAAGCCACUUUACAAUAUCGUCUUCAAGCAUUUGAUGUAUCCAUUCACAGCUAGCAGAAAUGUCAAACAUCUCAAGGAAGCGACCCAGGGUUUGAUUGCUAAGGGCAGCGAUGUCCAGCACGAGAUUGAGAUUGCUGAGAGAAAUGGCAUGAAAGCAAAGAAUGAAGUGCGAAGGUGGCUUGAAAAUGUGGAUGCCAUCAAGUCGGAUGAAGAAGCAAUUAGUCAAGUGUAUGAUGACAGAUGCAAUGUUCUUGGCUGUAUCUCUAUAAAUUGCUGGUCAAACUACAAAAUCAGCAAGAGUGCAGAAAAGGAGCUUCUGAAAGCCCAAGAGUGUGCCAAGAUUGACAUUAGUGUUGUUGCAGUCCAGCCGCUGCCACCAUCAGUCCGUGAAAUGCCCGUCUCAUCCACUGGACUGCUCAGUGAAGAGCUUAAUGUGCAGAAGGCUGCCCAGUGCAUUAGGGAUUCUUCAGUUGGAAUGAUUGGUAUAUGGGGUCUAGGUGGAGUGGGAAAGACUCAUCUUCUGAAGAAGAUCAACAAUUCCUUUGUCGGAGACUCUUUCUUUGACGUUGUUGUCUUUGUUACAGCCUCAAAAGAAUGUUCAGCCGAAAAGAUCCAGGCCGAAAUAGUAAAGAAACUUGGCUUAAGGAACGACGACGACAUAGAAUCCCAAGCAAAUAUCAUUUAUGACUUUCUAAGCAGGAGGAGUUUUCUUGUACUACUGGAUGACCUCUGGGAGCAGUUGGACUUACAAGCAACAGGUGUCCCAUAUCCUCUUGGAUUUGUUGGCGAAUUCAAGAGGAAAGUGGUACUCACGACAAGGUCACGAGUUGUGUGUGGUGCAAUGAACGUCAGAAAGGAGAUAAAAGUGGAUUGCUUGAGACAAGAUGAGGCAUUUCAGCUUUUCCAAGAAAAUGUUGGUCAAGAGAUUAUUUUCUCCAAUCCUCGCAUUGGAGCCCUUUCAAAAGAGCUUGUGAAGGAGCUAAAGGGCUUGCCCUUGGCGUUAAUAGCUACCGGAAAGGCAAUGUAUCCAAAGAAAGAUCCAAGUGAAUGGGAAACAGCUAUUCGUUUACUGCGGCGAUCUGGCCAUGAUGUGGGUGACCCCACGUCUAUGGAGAACACCAUUUUCUUCAAGUUAAAACUUAGCUAUGAUAGCUUGGGGAAUGAUACUAUGAGACGUUGUUUCCUCAUUUGCUCAUUGUGGCCAGAGGAUUCUCCUAUUGCUAAAGACGAUCUGAUCCAAUGUUGGAUGGGUCUAAGCCUACUUAAUAAAUGUGAUAUACAGAGUUCUUACAGUGAAGGCUACAACAUAGUAGGCCACCUGCAAGCUGCAUCAUUGCUGGAAGCUACUGAAGACAGUAGUGAGCACCUUAAAAUGCAUGAUGUGAUUCGUGAUAUGGCAAUAUGGAUAUCGUGUGGUUGCGGUGAAAACAAUAACAAAUGGGUCGUUCAUGCAGAAAUCGGUAAAACUGCAUCUAGAAAGUGCAUCCCUUGGAACAGAGUGGAAUAUUUGUCAAUGAUGGGCAAUGGACUGGAAGAACUCCCAUAUCUUGGUGAUGAUGGUGGUGUGAACGAAAAUAGUCUGGGCAGUGUCAGAUCUAAGUGUUGGCUAGGUUCCUGCUGUACAGAACUUAGGACACUGCUUCUUCAAGAUAAUAAGUUCAGUGAGAAGGCACUUGGAAAUAUUUACCUUUUCACUACAUUGACAUACCUAGAUUUGAGUCACAACCAAAUUUUUGUUUUACCUUUAGCACUGUGUGCUUUGGGAGAUCUAGAGUACCUCAACUUGUCAUACAAUUACAUCAGUGAAUUGCCCAAGGACCUUAAACACCUCAUCAAGCUCAAAUUCCUAUAUCUAAGAGGUAAUCCAAUACAUACAGUACCAAAGGGCACCAUAUCAAGGCUUGAGGAAUUGCAAGUUCUGGACUUAUUGUCAUCUCAGGUAUUAUCGCGUGCAACCUAUACUCUAUCAUUGCUCCAGGAAUUGGAUAUGCUGGAUAACUUGAAAGCUGUGGAAAUUGGGGUCAAAGGUGAUGCAACAUAUGAAUUGGUAGGCAAGUUUCCUAGACUCCCUAUUAGAUCCAUCCAUUUGAGCAGGCUGAUAGGGACACCAUCAUUCAGUUUCUUGGAUGGUUUUUUCUCAAGCUCCUCGGUGCAAACGAGCUUACAUGAUCUUACGAUCUACAAGUGUUAUAUGCAGCAGAUACUGAUUAGAAACGGUAUAGGAGGAGCAAUUUUCCAGUUUGACAUACUAAAAUCGCUCACGUUAGACAGCCUCCUCAGCUUAAAGCGGAUAAUUUGGAAGCGAGUAGCUCCAGAAUCUCUUUUUCCAAGGUUAACUUACCUGGCAAUUGUACACUGUCAGAGUCUUAGGUGCAUCACCUGGGCAAUGUAUCUUCCUUGCCUUGAGAGAAUCCUUGUAAAUGGUUGCGGUAACAUGAGUCAAAUUGUUCGAACUAAAAAGAAGGACAAUGUUGACACAGAAUAUAAAGGACAGGAGAGCCCAAAGGCGAUUCAGAGCUUUCCUUGUCUCAAAUACUUUGAACUGCAAAGUCUUCGUGGGCUGUCGAGCAUAUGUGAUCCUGAAGUGACUUUCCCAUCACUUGAGACCAUGGAGAUAUCGUUUUGUCCGAAGUUGAAGAGACUUCCUUUCCUGACGAAAAGCAUGCCACAGAGAUUGCGCAAUAUUAGUGUUCCCCUCGUUCAGAUGAAAUGGUGGGAGACACUGGAAUGGGCCGAUGAAGAUGUCAAGCGUGCCAUACAGCCUCUUGUCAAUUCGGACAUCUCUGAUUACCUGGAGCAGAAUCCUAUCUACUUGUAGUGAAUUGGAGCCUGCCCAACUAUGAUGGUAUAUGUUUCUUCCUCACCUAUGUUCUGCUACCUUCAGUUGUGGGAACACAGAAGUAUUCCAAAAUACAGGAAAUAAAUUAUCCUAUCGCUACUCAAACCAAGCAUUAAAAUCCUACCGAUGCUCUACUUGUACCUGCACGACCAAAAACACACCGAUGCUAAUGCAGUCAAGGCGGGACAAACUCACCUUCUGUCGGAGCUUAGUAUUUUUCGUUUGGCAAGUAACUCCGCUCAAAUUCACUAUAAACUGAAUGGGAGCAAGGCAUGAUGAGGAAAAUUAACUGGAAAAAUAUUUGAUAGAAAUCUCAUUGCACGAUAGUGAGGGGUGUCCAGAGGUCAUGUGAUGCAGUCGCAGUGCAGCUGAGGUCACCAUGCUUGUGGUUGGCAGCAGAACAACAUUCUAGAUUAGAUGUCCAACUCCGAAGACACUGGUUAUAUAUGUAAACACGACUGAUCACAUACCUUUGUCAGUUUUUUCUUCAUUUAUUUUAUGGUGGAUAUGAACAGCACGGUGGAGAAGAGGAAUGUCUAGUGACGAUUAA